GCCGGGGCCACAGUUCCUCUUCUUCCCCCUCCCCCGGGCCGCCGGCUCAGCCGAGGGCCGGAGCCUUCCCCCGCCCCGACAGCCCGGGGGGUGGGAAACCCGUAAAGCGGGGGCAGCGAGCCGCCCCCGCCGCUGCAUAAGCCUUUCCCAGCCCGCCCCGCCAGCGCCUCCUCAGCCUCCGGGAGUUAACAGCUAAUUAACGAACUGAUUGUCACCUGGGGGGGGUAGGGGGAAGCCAAGCAAGCUGCAAGCCACAGCAGUUAUUUCAGAUGCGGGAUUCUUCCUUCCCGAGCACCUUGCUCCCUUCCAGCCAGCCCCUGUGAAAGCCAUUAGGGAAGGAACUACCCCCCUGAAGAGCUGCUGCCAGGGGCAAAAUGAAGCCCCCCCCCCCUUGUAUGACCAACCCGGGUGAGAGGCAUGGGGCUCCUGGAAAAUCUCUCUACACUACAGCCCCCAACUGCAUGGGACAGAGCAUUGCUAUUUGAAGCGAAAGUUAAUAAAUACUUCUGCCAGUCAUAAAGGGGAUGCAAAAAAAUGACUUUGUCUGGAAUCAUGUGCUGCAUCAAUGUACUUUGCCCAGAGCAGCGCAUCAUGCUAGAAGAAAUCUAAGGGAAGCAGAGGUGGUCUUUGCAGAAGUCACAUCAAGGACUAAAGAAAUAUUUUCAGAAAGAAGAGGACUCGUAAGACUUUACCUUUUCCAGACAGAGCUCCUUUGCCUUUAUUCUUUCCAGCGUUUCCGGUUUUCUACUCUAACCUGAGUCUGUUCUUCCAAAAGGGAUUCAUCCGCUGCUGUGUCUGCUUGUGAAGAGACAGUGUUUCAGCAUGUGUGGUAGGUAACACAGCCCGCUUUCUGAACAGGUUUUCUUCCAUCUAAAAUGCCUGCAAAGUGAGUGAUUACUAAAACCUUCAUACCAACUUAACUAUCACUUGUCACUAGAGCUUACCCCAUAUUUUUAGAAUGCUCUCUUAAAAUUUAUCAGUGUCUUUCAGUGCUAAGAAGCUUCCGCAAAAUAAAUGCAACUGAAUGCUGUAAUGUGCCACUCUCUGAGUGGAAACUGCUUUCUAAGCACAAAAAAGGUGAUUUGUUUCCCCUCUUUAAAACACAUGCCCAGUUGUGUCUCAAACCAAGACACCAGACUGCUGCCACAUAAAUUAUGACAUAUAUCUUGAUUUUUCAGGUCUUUCACACGUGGAAGGAAAGAAAAAGAGUGACUUAAAAAUAAACAAAAAAAAAUGUUGAAAAGGGUUUUUUUGACAUUGCACAGGUUUAGUUAAUUUUUUCAACAAAUAUUACCUGUUUUUUGACAAUAACUUCUACCUAUGUCCGAAGUGUCUGAAAAAAGAGUUUGAGCCAACACUGCAGUUCAGUUCAGACACAUGAUGGUCCAGAUCUGUCUUUGAUUGCUGGGAUCUAGGGGUCCUGUGGACAACUGUCAGCUGACUCUGAAAGCAUUUCAGAGUUUAGGAGUAAGAAGAUCAGGGCAAGCUGUAGCCAUAGAACUGAGUAAGGGGUUCAGGUUUGUUUUAAGCCAGUGCAGAUCUGAUGUUACUGUGGGACACCAAGAGGCAGAAAUUCUGUGAGAAGACUUCUAUUAGCAGCAUCUGACUCUGCAGCCAGUCACUACUGAUGACAUUCCCUGGGAUGUUCAGCCAUUGGUAUGCAGACUGCUUGCUUUUCCUCAUCUACAGUUACGUUGUUAGAGAACUUUUAAGGAGUACAUUGUAAAUCAAAGACAAGAGGCACUUUUCCCUUGGGAUCCUGCUUGAACUCUUGCUGGUUUACUUAUUGAGCUCCUCAGAAGUUCUGCAGACAGACUGGGGAGUGCUUCUGGUGUCUUGGCCUGCAGAUAGCUUACUAAGCAGAUUUUUUUUUUUAAAUUUUUUUUUUUUUUUUUUUAAAGUCAGGAAUAUCAGGAGCCCUACAAAUCCUGGCAGCCCUCUCAGGAGGGGAUGUCCAGGAUUUUCAGAUUCUUUGCCCCAAUAGUCUAGAAAUUAGAGAAUCACAGAUGCUCCCCUCCCUCUCCCACUAUGUGAGCUGGAAGGGAACAAAAAAGCCCUAUGGCAAACCCAGGGGCUUUUGAAAUUGGAAGCCUGCACUGUCUUUUAAUCUUCCUCAGUCCUAAUUUGUUGAAAUUAGCAAACAACAUUUUUCAGAUUGCUGUUCUGUGGAGAGCUUAGCAAAUAUCUUUCACUGCAGUUUGGAAUGAAGACAGAAUUGCUGAUUUUCAGAGUCAUCUGCAAUGUGAAUUUACUGUUCUCUCUUCCUGCCUCUGGUUUGGAUAGUGUCAGAAUUGUGUCUUUGGAAAGACAGACGGGCAAAUACAGGUCUGAACAAGAGGGAACUGCUGUGUAUAGAACAGAGUAACUACUGCAACAGAUGGCCUGCUGCUCAAAUAAUGAAGGAAGCAACCAGAGUAUUGCCCAGAAGGGAUGAGAAUGUCAGACACUCCUCUGCAGACCCUGGAAAAGCAGUCAUGUGGGACAGAGCAGGAAAAGAGAAAAAGAAGGAAAAUGUGUCAAAGUCAACAUGUCUGAUUUAAGGUGAAGAUUUUCCAAUACCAACUAAAUAAAUAAACAGUUUAUAAUUUGUCCUCUUCUCUAGUGGAGAGGUUAUACCCAUGAAAGUACCCUAGUAUAACAUUUUCAUCAGAAAUGGCUAAAGAUUCACUCUCUAAAGACAAACGGGACUUUCACCUUGACAAAUAAAGCAAGUAUUGAGUUGCAUGUAAUUCUCAAAGGAGGCUUGACAUACAUACAAAACCUUACAGUUCUUCAACUCUCUCUCUUCGGAACACUUUGUAUAGUCGAGGAUAUAUUUUACACAGGUGUUAGUACCUUCUUAUGGUAAAUUCAACAAAAACAGCAAUCUUUGAACUCUGGUCUUGGUUGUAUCAGAGCGAAUCUGAAGUAAACCCACUGUGUUCUGCAAGUUCCUUCUGACACACAGACAAAACAGAAGUCAGGCUCUGGAGCUCAGGUCCCAGCCUGAGUCAGAAAGGAGACACGUAAGUACUUUCAGCUCCAUAAAAGAAAAGCUCAAUAUACUGACAAGGUAGUCACCUUCACUUACUUCCUUGACUUGUCAUCAGGCAUCAAACAGUGCAUAUUUUAGUACUGGGAACUAAUUGGAAUGGAU